rnacentral:rRNA from 1 species
GUAUCAGAAGUGCGAAUGCUGACAUAAGUAACGAUAAAGCGGGUGAAAAGCCCGCUCGCCGGAAGACCAAGGGUUCCUGUCCAACGUUAAUCGGGGCAGGGUGAGUCGACCCCUAAGGCGAGGCCGAAAGGCGUAGUCGAUGGGAAACGGGUUAAUAUUCCCGUACUUGGUGUUACUGCGAAGGGGGGACGGAGAAGGCUAUGUUGGCCGGGCGACGGUUGUCCCGGUUUAAGCGUGUAGGUGUGUGUUCCAGGUAAAUCCGGUUCACUUUAACACUGAGGCGUGAUGACGAGGCACUACGGUGCUGAAGCAACAAAUGCCCUGCUUCCAGGAAAAGCCUCUAAGCAUCAGGUAACAUCAAAUCGUACCCCAAACCGACACAGGUGGUCAGGUAGAGAAUACCAAGGCGCUUGAGAGAACUCGGGUGAAGGAACUAGGCAAAAUGGUGCCGUAACUUCGGGAGAAGGCACGCUGACACGUAGGUGAAGUGAUUUACUCAUGGAGCUGAAGUCAGUCGAAGAUACCAGCUGGCUGCAACUGUUUAUUAAAAACACAGCACUGUGCAAACACGAAAGUGGACGUAUACGGUGUGACGCCUGCCCGGUGCCGGAAGGUUAAUUGAUGGGGUCAGCGCAAGCGAAGCUCCUGAUCGAAGCCCCGGUAAACGGCGGCCGUAACUAUAACGGUCCUAAGGUAGCGAAAUUCCUUGUCGGGUAAGUUCCGACCUGCACGAAUGGCGUAAUGAUGGCCAGGCUGUCUCCACCCGAGACUCAGUGAAAUUGAACUCGCUGUGAAGAUGCAGUGUACCCGCGGCAAGACGGAAAGACCCCGUGAACCUUUACUAUAGCUUGACACUGAACAUUGAGCCUUGAUGUGUAGGAUAGGUGGGAGGCUUUGAAGCGUGGACGCCAGUCUGCGUGGAGCCGACCUUGAAAUACCACCCUUUAAUGUUUGAUGUUCUAACGUGGACCCGUGAUCCGGGUUGCGGACAGUGUCUGGUGGGUAGUUUGACUGGGGCGGUCUCCUCCUAAAGAGUAACGGAGGAGCACGAAGGUUGGCUAAUCCUGGUCGGACAUCAGGAGGUUAGUGCAAUGGCAUAAGCCAGCUUGACUGCGAGCGUGACGGCGCGAGCAGGUGCGAAAGCAGGUCAUAGUGAUCCGGUGGUUCUGAAUGGAAGGGCCAUCGCUCAACGGAUAAAAGGUACUCCGGGGAUAACAGGCUGAUACCGCCCAAGAGUUCAUAUCGACGGCGGUGUUUGGCACCUCGAUGUCGGCUCAUCACAUCCUGGGGCUGAAGUAGGUCCCAAGGGUAUGGCUGUUCGCCAUUUAAAGUGGUACGCGAGCUGGGUUUAGAACGUCGUGAGACAGUUCGGUCCCUAUCUGCCGUGGGCGCUGGAGAACUGAGGGGGGCUGCUCCUAGUACGAGAGGACCGGAGUGGACGCAUCACUGGUGUUCGGGUUGUCAUGCCAAUGGCACUGCCCGGUAGCUAAAUGCGGAAGAGAUAAGUGCUGAAAGCAUCUAAGCACGAAACUUGCCCCGAGAUGAGUUCUCCCUGAGACUUAGAGUCUCCUGAAGGAACGUUGAAGACGACGACGUUGAUAGGCCGGGUGUGUAAGCGCAGCGAUGCGUUGAGCUAACCGGUACUAAUGAACCGUGAGGCUUAACCUU